CAGGUUGCCAGCUGGAUCGGUCGAAUAGGUCGCUAGCCGAAUAGGUCACCAAAUUGUGUUCAGUGUCAGUGCACGUGGGGUCUCCGUGGACCCCAUGCAUAUGUUUUAUUGUGUUUUGAAAUAACUACUGGUCACUGCUUUCUGAAAUUUAGUGACUUUGUCUCCUAUACAUUUUUACACGUAGCGAUCGAGUUCGGUAUCCAUCUGCUUCCCACAUGCCGAGUUAUGUUACAUGCAAAUCAGGCCCAACGCUUGAAGGGAACAACGGGUCCAAUAGGGCCGAUAAGUAAAUCCCGCAAAAUUGCGAGAUUUCACGAGAAAUUGAACUUCCGGUGACAUGUGUCAAAAUCACGCGAUUUUUUUAGCCUGAUAAUGCAAUGGUGAAAGCAAGCGAGUGAAUCGGGUUAUAUAUUUAUUUAUUUGUGCCUUACUCCAAACAAUGUUGUGAUCUUCGCUCACCAGUAAUUAUUUAUACGAAAAACAAUGUCAUAAAAUAUGCAAAAGGGAGAGUUGUGGAGAUUUAUUAGCUGUAAAAAUGACGAAGCGACGAUCGACUGACUGCCGUCUGCCUGCACGAUUAAACUCGUUGAGUCCUGCAAGCAGCCAACCAAUAUAGAAGCCUCUGUAUUUACUUUUAUGAAGAACUUUCAUUUGAUGACCACAGGGAUUUUUAAACCGAUAAAUUUCUAACAUGGAAGGACAAUGUAAAUAUUAUGCUUAAAUAACCACCGGCACUGAGCGAUUGAUUCAUCCAUAAAUCCUAAUUUAAAAAAAGUUGUUUACAUUGAACAAUAACCAGGCUUGUAAUGUGAGCGCCUGAAUGACUUUGAAAUGCAUAUUUCUUGUAAAGAAAUCUUGUAAAGGAUUGGAAUACAUUUAAAUCUCAACUGUACAUUAGCCACUUUUAGUUACACAUUUGUUUUGAAAUAAUUUCAAUAAAUAUAUUAAAUGAAA